UACGUAGGGUGCGAGCGUUAAUCGGAAUUACUGGGCGUAAGCGUGCGCAGGCGGUGAUGUAAGACCGAUGUGAAAUCCCCGGGCUUAACCUGGGAACUGCAUUGGUGACUGCAUUGCUGGAGUAUGGCAGAGGGGGGUGGAAUUCCACGUGUAGCAGUGAAAUGCGUAGAGAUGUGGAGGAACACCGAUGGCGAAGGCAGCCCCUGGGCCAAUACUGACGCCUCAUGCACGAAAGCGUGGGGAGCAAACAGG
rnacentral:rRNA from 1 species